AUUGAACGCUGGCGGCAGGCCUAACACAUGCAAGUCGAACGAGUGGCGGACGGGUGAGUAAUGUCUGGGAAACUUCCUGAUGGAGGGGGAUAAAUACUGGAAACGGUCUCUAAUACCGCCUACCAUCGGUUGUACCCAGAUGGGAUUAGCUAGUAGGUGGGGUAACGGCUCACCUAGGCGAGGAUCCCUAGCUGGUCUGAGAGGAUGACGAGCCACACGGGAAUGGAGACACGGUCAAGAUUCCUACGGGAGGAAGCAGUGGGAAAUAUUGGACAAGGGGGGCAAGCCGGAUGCAGCAAGGCCGCGGGGAUGAAGCAGGCUUUCGGGUGGAAAAGUAUGUUCAGCGGGGAGGCGUUACCCGAAGAAGAAGCACCGGCUAACUCCGUGCCAGCAGCCGCGGUAAUUC
rnacentral:rRNA from 1 species